GCGAGGAUGACCAGGACCAGGCGCCAGAUGAUGCACCCCUACGCACAAAUAAUCUUGACUGAGUGUGCCCACUACGACUCAGUGUGUCAUCGCUUUCACAACCCUGCUGGCAAGAAGCUCCAUCCUUCUUAAAUGGAAACAUACCUCCCCCCGACAUAUGACAGGUGGAUACAGGAGCUCCAUGCAUUCAACUUGAAAAGAUUCUCACUAAAAUGAUCUCAGAAAUCCUUUCACAAAACCUGGAUACUCAUCCGAGGUAGCUCACUGAAUGGAGAGAGAGACCCACACUCUUCCUUCCCCAUGUUCCUUUUCAGCAUAUUACUUUGUCUUUUAUAUUUCUCCCAUGUUGACUACAAUAUUGUUUUCUACUUUAGUUAAUUGUUGUUUUUUAAUGUUUUAAUUGAUUGAGUAUUUAAUUGCUGUUUGUAGUAGUUAUUUGCUUUCAUUACAUGUUGUGACCAUGACCAAUAAUGGGUGGAAGAGUGGAUAUUUUUCUUUCUUUGAAAGAUUAUAAUAUAGACCAAUUAUCUUGUACUGAAAAUGCUAUGUUCAAAUUGACAUGUCUGUAAAAAACAGAAUUGCCAUCUUACCCCAAAGUAGUUGUUUGGAACGAAGCCCUCCCUGCCACAGAGCGAGGCCCACCACCAGUCGGACCCCUCAGGUCUCUGCAGGAUGGUGACCAUGUCGGCCUCUUUGAAGCUCAGCUCAUCGGCUAGCUGAGCCGGGUAGCUCCACAGAGCGUACAGCACCCCGCUGUUCUCCGUGCCCAUGGCCUCCUCCACCCCUGGUGUCACAGGAGAGACAGGAGCAACAUGCAUUUAUUUUUAGGAUCAUUUUUGGGAGAGACAGAGUUGAAAGGGAAUGACACGCGCAACGUAAUUUAUUUUACAUAUGUAUUUACAUUUCGGAUUAAUGUUAUUAAUACAAGCUAAACAUACUGUAUUUCAAUAUAUAUAAAAAAUAUAUUGAGAAAGUUUA